UACGUAGGUGGCAAGCGUUGUCCGGAUUUACUGGGCGUAAAGAGCGCGCAGGCGGUUGCGCAAGUCGCGUGUGAAAGCCCCCGGCUCAACUGGGGAGGGUCACGCGAUACUGUUCGACUUGAAGGCAGGAGAGGGAAGUGGAAUUCCCGGUGUAGUGGUGAAAUGCGUAGAUAUCGGGAGGAACACCAGUGGCGAAGGCGACUUCCUGGCCUGUUCUUGACGCUGAGGCGCGAAAGCUAGGGUAGCAAACGGG
rnacentral:rRNA from 1 species